CGGACAGAGCUGGCGUAUCUGGCCUGUAUUCAGCCGUGCGUCCGUUGGCGUCAGGGAUGCCGCUCUCCAGAUUGGGACGGUGGCCUGUCUGCUGGCGGAUGUGUGGUGCAUUUGCAGGUGGAGUGCGCUGAGGCACUCGGGUCAGCGGCAUGAGCUCAGUGUUGAGGCCAGCCCCUCACGGGGUCUGGUACCCGCAUUGUGGGGAGUGCUGUUUGUCCUGGGUGUGUGGAGGGCAAUGGUUUCGGGUUCGUGUGGGUGCCGAGCUGGCAGUCGGUGGCGGUCGCGUGCGACACGUGCCAGCGGUCAGUUCGGUCCUGCUCGAGCUCUCAUCUGCUCGUCCUCGGUGUAAAAGCCGGUCAUCUGUCCGACCCGUCUUGAAACACGGACCAAGGAGUUUAGCGUGUGCGCGAGUCAUUGGGCGUUGAAAACCCAAAGGCGCAAUGAAAGUGAAGGUCUCCCCUGCGGAGCUGAUGUGUGAUCCUGGGCACUGCGGUGCACACCGGGCGCAACAUAGUCCCGUCCCGAUCGCUUGCGAUGGGGCGGAGACAGAGCGUACGCGCUGAG
rnacentral:rRNA from 1 species